AUUGAACGCUGGCGGAAUGCUUUACACAUGCAAGUCGAACGGCAGCACGGGGCAACCUGGUGGCGAGUGGCGAACGGGUGAGUAAUACAUCGGAACGUGCCCAAUCGUGGGGGGAUAACGUAGCGAAAGUUACGCUAAUACCGCAUACGAUCUACGGAUGAAAGCGGGGGAUCGCAAGACCUCGCGCGAAUGGAGCGGCCGAUGUCAGAUUAGGUAGUUGGUGGGGUAAAGGCUCACCAAGCCAACGAUCUGUAGCUGGUCUGAGAGGACGACCAGCCACACUGGAACUGAGACACGGUCCAGACUCCUACGGGAGGCAGCAGUGGGGAAUUUUGGACAAUGGGGGCAACCCUGAUCCAGCCAUUCCGCGUGAGUGAAGAAGGCCU
rnacentral:rRNA from 1 species